CAGAGGGUAGUUUAGUGUAAAAAUAUUAAUUUUGGGGAUUAAUGAGAAGAAUUUUCUUUCCUCUGA
rnacentral:tRNA from 2 species